GUGCUUGCUUCGGCAGCACAUAUACUAAAAUUGGAACUACAUAGAAAAGGUUGGCAUGGCCCCUGCACGAGGAUGACUCACACAUUCGUGAAGUGUUCCGAUAAUUU